rnacentral:rRNA from 1 species
CGCUGGCGGCAGGCCUAACACAUGCAAGUCGAGCGGUAGAGAGAAGCUUGCUUCUCUUGAGAGCGGCGGACGGGUGAGUAAUGCCUAGGAAUCUGCCUGGUAGUGGGGGAUAACGUUCGGAAACGGACGCUAAUACCGCAUACGUCCUACGGGAGAAAGCAGGGGACCUUCGGGCCUUGCGCUAUCAGAUGAGCCUAGGUCGGAUUAGCUAGUUGGUGUGGUAAUGGCUCACCAAGGCGACGAUCCGUAACUGGUCUGAGAGGAUGAUCAGUCACACUGGAACUGAGACACGGUCCAGACUCCUACGGGAGGCAGCAGUGGGGAAUAUUGGACAAUGGGCGAAAGCCUGAUCCAGCCAUGCCGCGUGUGUGAAGAAGGUCUUCGGAUUGUAAAGCACUUUAAGUUGGGAGGAAGGGUUGUAGAUUAAUACUCUGCAAUUUUGACGUUACCGACAGAAUAAGCACCGGCUAACUCUGUGCCAGCAGCCGCGGUAAUACAGAGGGUGCAAGCGUUAAUCGGAAUUACUGGGCGUAAAGCGCGCGUAGGUGGUUUGUUAAGUUGGAUGUGAAAUCCCCGGGCUCAACCUGGGAACUGCAUUCAAAACUGACUGACUAGAGUAUGGUAGAGGGUGGUGGAAUUUCCUGUGUAGCGGUGAAAUGCGUAGAUAUAGGAAGGAACACCAGUGGCGAAGGCGACCACCUGGACUAAUACUGACACUGAGGUGCGAAAGCG